UGUAGCAAUACACUUGUACAGUGGCAAACGGGUGAGGAAUACGUGAGUGACCUACCCUCGAGUGGGGAAUAACCAGCCGAAAGGUUGGCUAAUACCGCGUACGUUUCCCGGUUUACGGAUCGGGAAGGAAAGCAAUACCGUGGGUAUUGCGCUCAAGGAUGGGCUCACGUCCUAUCAGCUAGUUGGUAGGGUAACGGCCUACCAAGGCUCUGACGGGUAGCUGGUCUGAGAGGACGAUCAGCCACACUGGCACUGCGACACGGGCCAGACUCCUACGGGAGGCAGCAGUAAGGAAUAUUGCGCAAUGGGCGAAAGCCUGACGCAGCGACGCCGCGUGGGGGAUGAAGGUCUUCGGAUUGUAAACCCCUUUCGGGAGGGACGAUGGGAUGGGCAACCAUCUGGACGGUACCUCCAGAAGCAGCCACGGCUAACUUCGUGCCAGCAGCCGCGGUAAAACGUAGGAGGCAAGCGUUAUCCGGAUUCACUGGGCGUAAAGCGCGUGCAGGCGGUUUGGUAAGUUGGGCGUGAAAUCUCCCGGCUCAACUGGGAGAGGUCGUCCAAUACUACCGGACUAGAGAACGAUAGAGGAAGAUGGAAUUCCCGGUGUAGUGGUGAAAUGCGUAGAUAUCGGGAGGAACACCAGUGGCGAAAGCGAUCUUCUGGAUCGUUUCUGACGCUCAGACGCGAAAGCUAGGGUAGUAAACGGGAUUAGAGACCCCGGUAGUCCUAGCCGUAAACGAUGUGAACUUGGCGUUGGUGGCUUAAACUCCAUCAGUGCCGCAGCUAACGCGAUAAGUUCACCGCCUGGGGACUACGGCCGCAAGGUUAAAACUCAAAGGAAUUGACGGGGGCCCGCACAAGCAGCGGAGCGUGUGGUUUAAUUCGAUGUUACACGAAGAACCUUACCCAGGCUUGACAUACAGGGUUGUAGGGAUCCGAAAAGGUGACCGACCCGCAAGGGAGCCUGAACAAGGUGUUGCAUGGCUGUCGUCAGCUCCUGUCGUGAGAUGUUCCGGUUGAGUCCGCUAACGAAGCGCAACCCCUCGG
rnacentral:rRNA from 1 species